UUUACCUUGCCUAUAAUGUUGA
rnacentral:siRNA from 1 species